rnacentral:misc_RNA from 1 species
UUAACUAUUAUAUAGUACUCAGACAUCACUAAAAACAAGAGUUGUGGUCCUCUGGCGGGCACGCAGCAGCCGAAGCCGCUGGCCGAAAGGCGGCCCGCCAAAGCAACAAAGGUAGUUUAUUCAAGGGUGACUAGUGAGCUUACACGGCGGGGGUUUCCCCCUACCGAAGACUAGUUUUGUAAUGAUCCUUCCGCAGGUUCACCUACGGAAA